AUUUUAGUAUAAGUGUGUCUAUGUCCCAUGCAAUAUUUGGGACAUACUUAUGCUAAAA
rnacentral:pre_miRNA from 1 species